rnacentral:tRNA from 1 species
CAGAAGAUAGUUUAUAAAAAAAUUUUAGUUUUGGGAAUUAAAGAAAAUAUAUAUGUAUUUCUUCUGA